CUCUGCCCCCCGCCCCAGGGCGCUAACGUGACCCGCGGCCGGUGACCUGUGACCUCCCGGCGGCCGGCCCCGCGGGCUCCAGGGGCGGCGCGCUCUCGCGCAUGGCGAGUGUGGCUUUCUCCGGCUGUUCACAAAGAGGCCCGAGGGACUAAGAUGGUGUCCGCCGGGCGCCCCGGGAGCGGCCGCCAGGAGGAUGUGUGGGCCCGACAGCCGGCGGUACGAAGCGGGGAGUCCAGAGGCCCCGCGCUCCCACGGCCGGAGCACGGCAGCGCACGCCGCCCGACGGAACAAAUGUGGGCCGGGCAGAACGCCCGAAGCUGCGAGAGGCGGGGCGGGAUUCUGGUCACCAUCUCGCGACGUCUCAGUGACGUCGCACGGCACUCGCGUGUUCCACUCUUUCACCUUCAGUCCGCUCCCGCGGUACGUGGGCCUACCCCUUUAAGCGAGUGAUUGACAGUUAGUUCAGCCACUCAACGCCCCCACCACCAUCCAAUCAGAUUUAAAUUUCUCUCAGCCGCCAAAGGAGUUGGAAAAAGGGGUCGAAAGAGGGAGAGCUCUCUCGCGCGAGAUCGCCGGGAGGCGGCCUCUGAGGGAAAAAAACAAAACAAAACAAGAAAACGCCAGAAAAGAUGGCCCGACCUUCCAAGCAGUGGGUUAAAGGACGGGGUCGAAAACCAAUAAAAGGGAUGAGGAGGCGGGACCAUCGCUUUCCGUAGCCAGAAGUACCGUUACAGGGCACACUUUUUGUCCAAUCAACGCCUCCAGACUUUGGCUCAGGUGACCACAGAGUGCGAGGGGCGGGGCUACAGCCUGGCGCGAGGAACCGUUAAGACGGACACCGAGUGUAACCAAUGAGGUACUCCGGCUGUGGCGUUGGGAACCCAAUAACAGUGGUCGGGCGGGCGCCUUCCCGGAGCGCGGGGAGAUGUAAAGACAGACACGCAGUUUUCCCAAUGAGACUGUAGAAGAGGGGAGCUACUGGGCCAAUGGAGGCUGCGGGGCGGGAUCCUUUGCAGCGGCGGAGCCCAAGAUGGCGGCAUGCGGUUCCGCUGUGUGAAACCAGCGCGGGGCGGCGGGUUCCUCAGCUCCGCGGAGACGACCUCCGGCGACCCGCAGCCAUGAAGGGGAAAGAGCGCUCUCCGGUCAAGUCCAAACGCUCCCGUGGCGGUGAGGAUUCGACUUCUCGCGGGGAGCGGAGCAAGAAGUUGGGGGGCUCCGGCGGCAGCAAUGGGAGCAGCAGCGCUAAGACCGACGGCGGCGGCGGGUCGCGGCGCAGCCUUCAUCUCGACAAGUCCAGCGGCCGAGGCGGCAGCCGCGAGUACGACACGGGCGGGGGCAGCUCCAGCAGCCGCCUGCACAGCUACAGCUCCCCGGGCGCUAAGAAUUCCUCGGGCGGGGGCGAGUCGCGCAGCAGCUCCCGCGGCGGAGGCGGCGAGUCACGCUCCUCGGGGGCCGCCUCCUUGGCCGCGGACGGCGGGGAGUACAAGACCCUGAAGAUCAGCGAGCUGGGCUCCCAGCUGAGCGACGAGGCGGUGGAGGACGGCCUGUUCCACGAGUUCAAACGCUUCGGCGACGUGAGUGUCAAAAUCAGCCACCUCUCGGGUUCCGGCGGCGGGGACGAGCGCGUAGCCUUUGUGAACUUCCGGCGGUCGGAGGACGCGCGGGCGGCCAAGCAUGCCAGAGGCCGCCUGGUGCUCUACGACCGGCCCCUCAAGAUCGAGGCCGUGUACGCGAGCCGCCGCCGCAGCCGCUCCCCGCUGGACAAAGACUCCUACCCGCCGUCGUCCAGCGUGGUCGGGGCCUCUGUCGGCGGCCACCGGCACGCUCCCGGAGGAGGCGGGGGCCAGAGGUCCCUUUCCCCCGGCGGGGCGGCCUUGGGGUACAGAGACUACCGACUGCAGCAGCUGGCGCUCGGCCGCCUGCCCCCUCCCCCGCCGCCGCCCUUGCCCCGGGACCUGGACAGGGAGCGGGACUACCCGUUCUACGAGAGAGUGCGCCCCGCAUACAACCUUGAGCCCCGGGUGGGAGCCGGAGCAGGUGCUGCUCCUUUCCGGGAAGUGGACGAGAUCUCACCGGAGGACGAUCAGCGAGCUAACAGGACGCUUUUCUUGGGCAACCUAGACAUCACGGUGACCGAGAGCGAUCUGAGAAGGGCUUUCGAUCGCUUCGGGGUCAUCACAGAGGUGGACAUCAAGAGGCCUUCGCGGGGCCAGACCAGUACCUAUGGUUUUCUCAAAUUUGAGAACCUGGACAUGUCUCACCGAGCCAAACUAGCAAUGUCUGGCAAGAUUAUCAUUCAGAAUCCUAUCAAAAUAGGUUAUGGUAAAGCUACACCCACCACCCGCCUCUGGGUCGGUGGCCUGGGACCUUGGGUGCCCCUCGCUGCCCUCGCACGAGAAUUUGACCGAUUCGGCACCAUCCGCACCAUAGACUACCGCAAAGGUGAUAGCUGGGCCUACAUCCAGUAUGAAAGCCUGGAUGCCGCUCAUGCUGCCUGGACCCAUAUGCGGGGCUUUCCACUUGGUGGCCCAGAUCGUCGCCUUAGAGUAGACUUUGCAGACACAGAACAUCGGUACCACCAGCAGUAUCUGCAGCCUCUGCCCUUAACUCAUUAUGACCUGGUGACAGAUGCUUUUGGACAUCGGGCACCGGAUCCUUUGAGGGGUGCGAGGGAUAGGACACCACCCUUACUAUACAGAGAUCGUGAUCGGGACCUGUAUGCUGACUCCGAUUGGGUGCCGCCCCCGCCCCCGGCCCGGGAACGCAGCACUCGGACUGCCCCCACUUCUGUGUCUGCUUAUGAGCCGCUGGAUAGCCUGGAUCGCAGGCGGGAUGGCUGGUCCUUGGACCGGGACAGAGGUGACCGAGAUCUGCCCAGCAGCAGGGACCAGCCUAGGAAGCGAAGGCUGCCUGAGGACAGUGGGGGCCGGCAUCUGGAUAGGUCCCCUGAGAGUGACCGUCCUCGGAAACGUCACUGCGUUCCCUCCUCUCCUGACCGCAGUCCAGACUUGAGCAGUAGCCGGGAUCGCUACAACAGUGACAACGAUCGAUCUUCUCGUCUUCUCCUCUUGGAAAGGCCCUCUCCAAUCAAAGACAGACGCGGCAGUUUGGAGAAAAGCCAGGGUGACAAGCGAGACCGCAAAAACUCUGCAUCGGUUGAGCGUGAUAGGAAGCAUCGGACAGCUGCUCCCACUGAGGGAAAAAGCCCUCUGAAAAAAGAAGACCGGCCGGAUGGGGGUGCAGCCAGCGCCAGCGCCGUUUCUUCCAAGUUGAAGUCCCCUUCCCAGAAGCAGGAUGGGGGGACAGCGCCUGCGGCCGCAGCCUCUCCCAAGCUCUGCUUGGCCUGGCAGGGCAUGCUUCUGUUGAAGAACAGCAACUUUCCUUCCAACAUGCAUCUGUUGCAGGGCGACCUCCAAGUGGCUAGUAGUCUUCUCGUGGAGGGCUCCAGCGGAGGCAAAGUUGCCCAGCUCAAGAUCACUCAGCGUCUUCGUUUGGACCAGCCCAAGUUGGAUGAAGUAACUCGGCGCAUCAAAGUGGCAGGGCCCAAUGGUUAUGCCAUUCUUCUGGCUGUGCCUGGAAGUUCUGACGGCAGAUCCUCUUCCUCCGCCACGACAGAUACUGCCACCUCUACUCAGAGGCCACUUAGGAACCUGGUGUCCUAUUUAAAGCAAAAGCAGGCUGCUGGGGUGAUCAGCCUCCCCGUGGGGGGCAACAAAGACAAGGAAAACACCGGGGUCCUUCAUGCCUUCCCACCCUGUGAGUUCUCCCAGCAGUUCCUGGAUUCUCCUGCCAAGGCACUGGCCAAAUCUGAAGAAGAUUACCUGGUCAUGAUCAUUGUUCGUGCUGAGGCGUUACUUGCUGCUGCUCAGAUCUCGUAUGUCCUGAGCAAGAAGCAGGGAGACCAUCAUUUUGACUUAUCGCGGUGUGUCCAUUCUGAAGGAUCGCUAGUGUUCCGUGACCCCCUUUGUUUGCAGCGAAGGGGAUCAUUGCUUCUCGGUCCUCAACCUGCUGAGGACAUGGUGCUGUUGGCUGGCACGAAAGAAGCCGGGGCGAGCACCCUAAGCCUCACCACAGUGCACAAGCCGGGGGCUUUGCUGGUUGAAGAGCCGGAGUUGCUGAAAUUUAAGUUUUGAUUUAUUUUGUUCACCUGUCACGUUUGGCCUUAGUUUCAUUUUUAAUUUGAAGAAAAGUUUGCGAUUGCUUUAUCUUGCACUUAACAUUUGCACCAAAUUGCCAAAAGAAGGAGAAUGCUCCGUGUGCUUUUUAAAUGUUAAUGAUGGUGUUAAUAAAGCCUUUCCCGACCCAUUGGAGGAGCUCCUCCGUCUCCAGGGGCUUCUCACCAGAGGUAUGCAGUGAUGGGUUUAGUUCUGAAUGGAUGAAGAGUUCCUGAGAGCUAGCGUUUGUAAUUAGAGCCGUUACUCGGUAUCUGUGCCUUACCUGACCUGUGGUUCCACAUGCCUUGGAUGUGCAUGCACCGUGACGGUUUCAUAGGUACGAACGCACACUCAGGCCCAGACACCUCGGUUGGUAGUACAGAUGGUGAGGAAAAAAAUGGAGGCAUCCUUAAGGAGGAGGAAGUGUUUGCCUUUAGUUCCUGCACUGUCCUGCACAGGGGGUCCUGAGCUUUGGAAGCUGUUCCCAGUGCAGGAGAACAACUCCCCUCUUUGCAGAGGAGACUUCCGUGCACGGUGACAACGCUGGAGCUCAAGAGGAAGCCAGCCGUGCUGCGCCAUUGGCCUCAGACACCACUGUUGUUUGCCAGUUGUAAACCUAACUAGUUGCAGACGAAGACCACCUUGAAAUGCAGGCUCGCUGGGCUUGUUUUGAAUUGUAACCUCGGAUGGAAGAGCCUAGUGCUGUGUGUCUCCAUGCGGGAGGAUGAUUACUUAGGCAACAGGUGAUUACCAACAAAGGAUGCCACGCUUAUACUCUGCAAGGUGGUGUUCCAGUGGCAAACAGCUGUAUAGACUCUUGUAAACAGGUAAGAGGGUUUGUAGAGGUCAAAAUGCGUUCUAAUGAACAGGGUGAGGGGUUUUAAUGUUGGGGGGAUGCUUCUCGGGAAAUCUUCAGGCACUGCCUCCCCGUCACCAAAGUCUUGUCUGUAAAAUUCCAGGCCAGAACUUUUGUUCUACUGGAAUUUUUAUUUAAAAAAAAAUUAUUGUGGGAGCCAAAGCAUUGAAAUCUUGGUUAUGGAUUUGGGGCCUACAACCUUGAUAUCCUUUAAAAUUUUGACAUUUUCCAUUAGCCAUGACCUUCACCCUUGGUGAUGAUUUACUGGUGCUGGAAGAAUUUCCUGCUGUAAAUCUCAAGUUAACAAAAUUAUAGUAUGUAGCAACAACAACAAAGAAAUGUCUACCAGGAAUGAUAGAUAAUUUAGCCAAAAUGGUUAGUUUCUUUUAGUUUUUUUUUUCUUGUCCUACAAAGAUUAAUUAUAAAAUUUGGCCACUACAACUUUAGGGGAGUGAACAGACAAUGUUGACAAGGCUAUUACAUCAUUUUCAUGGUCCAUUUAGUCUUCCCAGCCUCUGAACCCUUCCGGCUCCUCCCCCAACAUUAAGUGUGAGAUUUUGGCAACUUAACAUAACUAUAAAGAAAAUUAUAAACAAACACAAUAGUUUAAUGUAUAACACAAUUUAGGUUUUCUUGGUUUAUUGAAAAUGGGAUAAGAAUUUUGGGCAUUUUUUAAAUGAAAUUUUUGUUUAUCUCUUAUAAAGGGGAAAGAUCUUUUUUCUUUUUUUUCUCUUUUUUUCCAGAUUUUUCAGUGUGCCUUACAAGAGUUUUUAAACAUCUGCUUAUGAGUUGGCUGCCAUCUAAAGCUUUGCUGAAUGAUUGCUUACCUACAUGUCUAAAGGAUUUUAUACCUGUUAGGAAUGUUAAUUUCCAGUGCAUUUUCUUUCUCUGGCUAGUUCAUACUGAAAGCCCAUUAAGUCAUUUUUUCCAGUUAUUAAGUAUUUUAAGUUAGUAUAGCGGUUUGAGGAAGAUUAUGUUAUACUCUACAUAUUUCUGCAUAUCUGGAAUCUUUCUAAGAUCUCAGGCUUCCUCUCUCAAUGAUAAGAAAUGUUGCACCAAGGCUUUUGCUUAUUUGUAUGUGAAACUAUAUGCAAAAUGGAAAGGUACACAGUAUGCCAAUUUUGAAAUUAGUCAAGAAGUUUUAACGCCAGCUACACUGGGAAAGAAAAACUAAUUAGGUCCACGGUUAGAUCUAGGGUUCUGGUUUUGUAAAUUGGAAACUGCCCUUUUGAAAUACUAGUGUGGUUUCUCAUUGUCUUUCACAUGAUCUAAGUUUAGGGUUCUACUUUAAAGGAAAUAAUUCCUUGACCAUCUCUGAAUUGAUUUGUAAUGUUGGGAAGUCUGGCUGUGAGGGUUAAAAUUGAAAAUAGGGAUUACCCUGACUUUGGUAAAUCAACCUUGAUUUUAUAAAUUGCCACUUGUGUAGGUUAAGUUAUAUUGUUGUUUCCAAGUUGUUUAUCUCAGGAAAUAAAUUUAGUACUUAUGACUUGUAUAGCAUCUAUUUUCUUUGUGCAAUAGGGUAUCUGAUUAUGGCUUGUUGAUCACCUUUAUCUCCCAUCUUACUCCCUUUAAGCUUCCCUGGUUAAAAGACCCUUUUACUUAACUUGAAUUGUAACCUAGUUUUAAGUUGUUAGCAGAGGAAUUUAUUGAAUAACAAAAUUCCUUCAAACCUCAGACAUGAUUGUUCUUAGCAAUUAAGAAGAGAUUUUGACCUUAAGUAAAGUGACAUAACCAUAACCAGGAACUACUGAGAAUCAAAAACCGUUAGCCGAUUUUGGGAUUUGGCUUUAUUAUUCAGCAACUAAAAGAUGAGUUCUAAUUGGCAGACUUCUGGCAUUGGCACUUGUCCUCCUGUUUCUAUAGAAACGGUGGGAAGUCAGAGCUGCACAAGGGAAAGGGAAAGAGAAAAUAUUGUUCAGAUAACCGAUGUAACCAUUAUUAACUAGUGUUUGAGGAUUCUGUGGGAAGUUUUACUGUUUGCUAGAGUCCUGAUUUAAAAUGCCUGUAUUUUUUUAUAGGAAUUUCAACUUUUGCGAUUUGGUAAUAACAGAUCUAACAGGUAAGUAAAAAAAAAAAUGAGAAUCUCAUGCAAUUUGAAGAUCUAAGUUUGGUUGAGAAUUUAAUAAUUUGUAGCCAGAAAGCCUGUUGAUUUAUUUAAAGCUAAAGACAGUAAUGGAACUGCCCAGUCCUGUUGAGAACUGAGUGAAUCUUUAAGGCAGCAUUUCUGAUGUUUCUUUGGUAGUUGCUGUUGAAGUCAGAAUCUAGGAACAAACCUAAUGGCCUUUCUCAAGUCCUCUGUCACCUCCCAGAGGAAAGACUUGCUGAGGUUUCUCCCUCCCAUGGAGCACGCAGUGCAGUGUCGCAGUCAGGGAGAGAUGCUUUUAUAGAGAAGGACAUUUAACCAUUUCUAUAUCAAUUAUCAUCAUCUUGUUAUAAGGUACUGCGAGCCACUCUCAGACCA